GAAAGAGGAGAAUCGCCCAAGCGGCCUCGGAAGUCCCAGGGAGUGGAGGCCCCCGCCGUGGAGCCGUGUGGUGUAUGUGUGGUAACACCAUGUCUGUGCCCCUGCUCACCGAUGCUGCCACUGUGUCUGGAGCUGAGCGGGAAACGGCCGCGGUUAUUUUUUUACAUGGACUUGGAGACACAGGGCACAGCUGGGCUGACGCCCUCUCCACCAUCCGGCUCCCUCACGUCAAGUACAUCUGUCCCCAUGCGCCUAGGAUCCCUGUGACCCUCAACAUGAAGAUGGUGAUGCCCUCCUGUCAAGGCCUUGAUUGAGCAUGAAAUGAAGAACGGGAUCCCUGCCAAUCGAAUCGUCCUGGGAGGCUUUUCACAGGGCGGGGCCCUGUCCCUCUACACGGCCCUCACCUGCCCCCACCCUCUGGCUGGCAUCGUGGCGUUGAGCUGCUGGCUGCCUCUGCACCGGGCCUUCCCCCAGGCAGCUAAUGGCAGUGCCAAGGACCUGGCCAUACUCCAGUGCCAUGGGGAGCUGGACCCCAUGGUGCCCGUACGGUUUGGGGCCCUGACGGCUGAGAAGCUCCGGUCUGUUGUCACACCUGCCAGGGUCCAGUUCAAGACAUACCCGGGUGUCAUGCACAGCUCCUGUCCUCAGGAGAUGGCAGCUGUGAAGGAAUUUCUUGAGAAGCUGCUGCCUCCUGUCUAACUAGUCGCUGGCCCCAGUGCAGUACCCCAGCUCAUGGGGGACUCAGCAAGCAAGUGUGGCACCAUCUUGGAUCUGAGCCGGUCGAGCCCCUGUCCCCACCCUUCCUGACCUGUCCUUUUCCCACAGGCCUCUGGGGGCAGGUG
rnacentral:sRNA from 1 species